rnacentral:rRNA from 1 species
AACGAACGCUGGCGGCAUGCCUAACACAUUCAAGUCGAACGAGACCUUCGGGUCUAGUUGCGCACGGGUGCGUAACGCGUGUGAACCUGCCCUUAGGUUCUGAAUAACUUCCCGACAUGGUUGCUAAUACCGGAUAAUGUCUUCUGACCAAAGAUUUAUCGCCUUUGGAUGUGCCCGCGUUGGAUUCGCUAGUUGGUAGGGUAAAAGCCUACCAAGGCGACGAUCCAUAGCUGGUCUGAGAGGAUGAUCAGCCACACUGGAACUAAGACACGGCCCAGACUCCUACGGGAGGCAGAAGUAGGGAAUAUUGGACAAAGGGCGAAAGCCAGAUCAAGAAAUGCCGCGUGAGUGAUGAAGGCCUUAGGGUUGUAAAGCUCUUUUACCCGGGAUGAUAAUGACAGUACCGGGAGAAUAAGCUCCGGCUAACUCCGUG